GUUUUUCAUGCCACCAAAGGGGUGGGACCGGAAAUUCUGGGCCUUAGCCUCACGACUCUAAACCUAGAGACAAAAAUUGAUGAAUACAGUUAAUUGAAUUUCUCAGUGCAUACGAAUUGGCUCACAGGAAACAAAACCCACCAAAGUUUGACUCCAUUUCGCUCCUUUAGGGUGAGUGGAAAUCCACCCUGAAUAAGCUCCUUUUCCUCCGUGGAGAUUCACUGGGCUUGUUUCCUCUGGCCAGCAUCAGGCACACCCUGGUCCAUAAGGCAGAUGUGUUUCCCAACCUUUACGGGAAGGGAGACAGUCACGAAGUGAAAACUGAAUAAAUAUACAGUACACGUGGAUAAGAUGGAAGGAAACAGGGUAGAAAUGGAGGGGAAAAAAACCUCUAUUGCUCUUCCACCUUUUUCUUAAUCCCACAAGCAGCAACUAUUUCGAAGAUCUCAUGAUGAGUGCCCGGCUCGGGAUGCUGAAGAAGGCGGUUAUUGCUAGAUAUAAAAUAUGUGAUUUUCUGCUGGGGAGCUGGGGAGCUGGUCUUGGAGAUAAACAGUCAUGCACAGACAGAGGCAGGAGGGACGGUCAAACCAGCACGGAUUCGAGCCAAAACGAACCUCACCUAGGGAUUUCCGUUGGCAUUGCCAGUCCAGAGAGUGGUUCAAGGAAAGCCUGGACUUGUAUAGAUGGGCAGAACCAGAAGAGGCCCCGGGGGCAGGGAAAGACAGGGCCACCACUGGGGGAGGCGUGGAGCCAGGUGACAGCACAAAAGAAAAGGUGCACUAGGGUCCAGAAGAGAGAAGAGGAACCCAUUCCUGCUGCUCAUAUCCUUCACGUGGUUCAAUUUGUCCAAACCACGUCUAGAGAAUGGACCCAAUUUGUCCGGAUGGCGACUCUCCCUGUCCCAAACGUUCCUUCCUGCCAACUAAAGAAGAUAAUUAUGAGUGCAUGCAUGUCCCUCUCUCCCCAUCUCACCAAAAGGAAAACAAAGCGAAGCACAUAGAAGAUGUUUAAUCGUAAAGAUAUUCUUCAAGACGCUAACCUUGGCUGCAAGAAAAGUGGCAGGCAGAGCCUCGCGUCCAAGCCACACAGGGGCAUCACACAACACAAACGGGGACGAUCUGACACUUGGAAAAUGAAAUGCCAGUAAUGAGAUCAUUGCAGUGGGAACCAGGGAGCCGGCCAGCUGAGAAGUAACACAACAUCAUGGGCGUUACGUCUGUCCAAGUCGUGGCAAAAACCUGCCAGGCCCAGAUUGACUUCAUUAGUCAUUUAGACGCGCAGAGAUCACAGAAAAAAAAAAUUCUCCCCCUCCUCCUCCUCCCUGAGAAAGAGCUGAUCAUCCGUACAAAUAGAAACUGGUGAGAACGCCAAUUCUUCAAAGCGUCAAUAUUUCAUUCAGCAGCCAGUUGCAAGUUUGCCUCGGCCAUGAAGAAAGUGGGCCGAGCGACCGCACACAAGGUGUGGCUCUAAUCAGCGUGAACAGGGAAUUCGGUUUGAUGCGGAUCCCUAUGGGGUGUUGGGCGAACACACAGUCUACACUGCCCCAGACACAGCCAGGGCCUUAGGGAGCAACAAGGCCCGCUGCACACCUGACUUAGCCCAUGGCACGACCCUUCGCCCCUUGUGGCUGCCUGAGCCGGUAGGAUUCUCACUCAGCCAGUAUGUGUGAGGUACUUUCUAGAUGCUGGGCACGGGCUGGGGAUUGGGAAUUCUAUCCCGAACGGGCCAAUCAAAAGUCCUUCAUCUUUAUCAUCCCCAGCUGAUCUUCAGUCUUCUCCGUCCCCUUGCCCAGCUUAACGUUUUCCCAGAGUGGCUGUCACUACCUGACACUGUAUCAUAUCUUUGUUUCCCAUUCAUUGCCUCACUUAUGAAAAUACAAGCGACGUGAUGAGUGCUUUGACGGGCUUAUGGUCUGGGCUCGAAGAAUGCGUGUGGGAUGAACAAGGUUUAUGUGCAAAUAACUUAUGCAAUUAUGACAAGCGGAAUAAAAGAAAACUACAGCUGUGGCGAGCACGUUCUCAUGAGGGUUUCUAACCCAGGACAUGAGGGAGGCCUUCCGUGAGCAAACGACUCUACUAGAGAGAGAGAUCUGUCUGGAGAAGGCGUCGGGUGGGCCUUUCAAAGAGCAGCAGCAACACGUCGAAAGGUGUUCGUGGGCUGGAAACGCCAGGAAACAGGGCCCGUGUCGUGGGGAUGUGAGGAGCGUUUCAAGAGAGGAGGUGGGAGCCGUGGACGGGAGCGUGAUGCUGCCACGUCCUGGAGGACACAUGCAGGAUUUCGGACUUCAUCCUAAGAGCAAUACCAAGAGUUUUAGGCCGUGAUCCGACCGCAAUUCUCAAGUCAUGAGUCUCUGUGAUAAGCACCCAAGUGAGCAUUUUAGUCCGAGCACUCUGAGGUCACCUGGGCAUAAGAAAUAGCUGGAUGGUUUCAGCAUGUGAAGAAGGAGAUGAAAGUCUGAAGACUCAGUCAUACGUUUUGAGGACACAGCAGAGGCCCCACACGACAGCAGGCAGCCCGGGGAGCGCGAGAGCAGCAGGAAGAUGGAGCGAGCAUAGCCAGGUGACAGAAAGGCAGGUGCGCAUUCGCGGAAACUCCUCGGGACUGAGAAGCCCCAAGUGAACACGGCUGCUGGUCCCCUUCCAGCUUUGGGCCAUCCCAGACCACUGCCAGGCCUCCCCUGGUGCUCUGCACUCCAGCAGGAAGAGGCCACCUCGGGCUCCCUCGACCUAGAGGCAACCAUGCCUUCCUGUCAUCCUACCCUCAUUUCACCUUCAUGGGGCCUCUGGACCAACUGCCGGUCUCCUGCCCAGGACCCAGUCAGCACGAAGAUGUGCUGCAUGUGAAGUGUCCGAUUCGUAUGGCAGACGGUACUACAAUGUCACUCUUGUCAUACCUUUUUCUGGCACAUGCUACGGUGCCUCCUCUGUGCCACACACACAAUCUCACUCUUCACAGGUCCUGGUUUGAUUCGUCCACUCAACUCCUCCCCGAAGGCUUCCUCGAUGCCCUAAAUGGCCAUGAAAAUAAGCCUCAGGGCUCCUAAAGUGUUUUGUGUCAAUGUGCAUUUAUAACUAUCCGACCGAAUGUCUUCGCAACCACACGGUGAAUGCCUCGGAUGGGUCCUCUUUAUCUUAUCACCAAGGCUGAGAACCACGUCUGGCAGAUGAUAGGAACAUAUCAGAAUAGGCAGUUGUAAAGGAAUAAGUGUAAUAAUUGUAAAGGAAUAAUCGUUACAGAAUAAAUGGAUGGAUAAAUAAGCACUUUAAAGAAACUUAUGGAGUUCUCAUUGUGGUGCAGCGGAAACAAAUCUGACUAGGAUCCAUGAGGAUGCAGGUUCGAUCCCUGGCCUUGCUCAGUGGGUUAAGGACCUGGUGUUGCUGUGAGUGGUGGUGAAGGUCGCAGAUGCAGCUUGGAUCCCGUGUUGCUGUGGCUGUGGUAUAGGCCAGCAGCUGUAGCUCUGAUUUGACCCCUAGCCUGGGGACUUCCAUAUGUCGCAGGUGAGGCCCUAAAAAGCAAAAACAAACAAACAAACAAAAAAAACACCUCAUUAUGAAAACACAUUAGAGGAGUUCCCUGGUGGCUCAGUGGGUUAAGGAUCCACAUUGUCACCACUGUGUUUCAGGUUCGAUCACCGGCCAGGGAACUCCCAUAAGCUGCCAAUAAAUUAAAGAAUGACCAUUCACACUAACAAGAAUUCUACACUUCUGAGUCUUCUCCCUCUUCUCCGCCUUCCACAACGUUCCUUUACAUCCUGGUUUCUAUAGUAAAUUGAAAAUCUGCUUCAUUUUCAAAUUAGAGACAUUGUACCAUCCACAUAAAGGGAGAAAUUGGAAUCACAAAGACAUUUACAUGACGACACAUGCGUCACUGCCCGCCCACUGCCCCACGCACACACACGAGCUGAGAGUGUGCCCAGUUGAGGAGCCAGCAGAUAAGUGAAUUAUUCCCUGCCACCUGACUCUCCCUCCCAAGCAUCGAAAAAGCUAUACUUCACUUAAAAGAGCAGAAAGAUGAGCGAUGACGCUUUUUAAACUUGGAAUACAUCCCACGGAAAUAUUCAACCCAGAUGGACAAAAGCAGGACUAUUCCAAACCAACCACAAUUCCAAAGUUGGGAUCUCCUUGACGAGAUUACUAUACCAGAAACAGCAUGUUCACUGUCGCAUACAAGACAUGUCACCUAACAAUUCAUCGCAGGGGUCUGAGGGAAAUAACUCAGCCAUUGUGAAGUCAAUGUUCAAAUCAAUAUCCCUAGGGGAGAAAAAUAUUGCUCAUUGAUGGAGAUUGAUUUUUCUUUUCCUUAAGAAAUUCUCCAGGGGUAAACAACAUUUUUUUCACAGUGAAUGUAACUAAACGCGCCAAUGUCAAGACCUACAUUUUCCUAUCAUUAGUGCAAUAUUCAAAAAUGAUUAGUGCAAUUAUGAAUGCCUUUCGACCUAUUGAAAAAUAGAUGCUGGUUCCAUUUGUGAAAAUCGUAUUUUCAUAUUCGAGCAACAGGAACACCACACAGUCAACUUGAUGUAUAUCUUCUGCUUUACUUAAAACCACUCCUAUCAGGAGCUCCCAUCAUGGCUCAGUGGUUAAGGAACCAGACUAGCAACUAUCGGGAUGUGGGUUCAAUCCCCAGCCUCGCUCAGUGGGCUAAGGAACCCUCAUUGCUGUGGCUGUGGUGCAGGAUGGCAGCUAUAGUUCCGAUUCAACCCCUGCCUGGGAACCUCCAUGUGCCAUGGGUGUAGCCCUAAAGGGACAAAAAAAUAAAAUAAAAAUAAAUAAAUAAAAUAAAAAACCACUCUUAUUAGUGAUAUGUUUUUUGAAGUUUUAGGAUAAUCCAAAAUCAGCAUGAAAACUGGGCCCUUGAUUUGUCUACCUACAAUGGAUAAUGACUAAUUUUCUAAAAAACUUCUGUUUCUGUCUUACGUUUUCCACUCUCACUUGUACCCCCAACUGAUUCUAGCAACAUUGGAUCUAGCCAUUUACUGAUUGCCUCAUGAAAGCAGGAAGUUUUAAUGGGCAAAGGGGAAAAAAGGGUGAACGUAAUUGGUUUUGUAUUUAAGACGUUGCUUCAGGCUGGUGAAUCUUUCAGAGUUAUUUACAAGGCUACAGUAGAAUACAUUGCCUACUUCGUAGGUUGUCUUCUUAGGCUAAAUGAGUGCUGGAAAGAAAGCUUGCCUUCUACCCUUUUG
rnacentral:lncRNA from 1 species